UACGUAGGGAGCAAGCGUUGUCCGGAAUCAUUGGGCGUAAAGCGCGCGUAGGUGGCUUCGUAAGUCCGCUGUGAAAGUCAAAGGCUCAACCUUUGAAAGCCGGUGGAUACUGCGGGUCUCGAGUCCGGGAGAGGUGAGUGGAAUUCCUAGUGUAGAGGUGAAAUUCGUAGAUAUUAGGAAGAACACCAGUGGCGAAGGCGGCUCACUGGCCCGGUACUGACGCUGAGGCGCGAAGGCGUGGGGAGCAAACAGG
rnacentral:rRNA from 1 species